CAGGGUCUCAGUCUCUGUUCUAGAGACAGUCGUGAGACAGAUGAGAGAAUCUUUGGACCAUCUCUUACAGGUCUCCUUGUGCUUUGAGUAUGAAUAGAUAGUGUCGGUUUUCCAUUAGGAGAUCUAUGUACAAUAGCUUUGUACAUUACACUCUGGUAUCUUAUGGAAUGUCAUUUUAGGGUCUGUCAAAGAUCUCUCACAAUAAUGUUGCACUCCAUCAACUUGCUCAGCAAUUGCCAAUAAAUCUCAGAUCAGCAAUUGUCAGUAAAUCCCAGAUGCUUGUCUUUUGUUCCUGGGAUACUUCCUCAAAUUUAUUUCCUCUGUUCAUCAGUCCUGCCACAUGCAGAAUGAAGGCAGCAGACUUAAUGCCUCAAGCACCUGGAAAUGUUGGUAUACACCCUCCAGUUGGGCCAUGGAGCAUUGUUGGACCUUCCAUUACUUCCAUGGCAGUGGUAUGUGGAUCACCUGGUUUGCUCUUUACACUCCCGCUAACCCAUCCUUCAGGAAUGGCCUCCCACAGAGGGAAAGAGUGGUGGCAUGCUGCUACAAAGUGUUUAAAAUAGCUGGAUGAAGAAUGGGUGAGCCCCCAACCCAUGGCAAUUAGAUGGAGCUAGAAAAGGUAUAGUCCACCUUGGGCUGUCCUUAUCUCAACACAGGGAGUAGAGCUCAUGGGUCUGCACUUGCCACAAGGGCUGAGGACCCCAUAUCACACACAGAAUAGAGCAAGUGGGGAAAGAAACUAGCUGGGCUAGCACGCUAUAUUAGUGAAAGUCCUUCUGGCUACAACAUCAGCCAGAGCAAAACUGAUGAGAGCUCUCAGUCUUCAGAUUUCCAUAUGUAGGCUGAUCAGCAAAUGGGGUCUGGCAGGAAGAAACCCUGUGGGGAUGCUAUCACACAGGUGCCCAGAUGUGUUGUGAAGAUAGUUUUUGCAGCUUUUACUGAAACAUCUGAUAUCAGCCACUGUCGGGAUUGAGAUAAGGGCCUAAAGGGAUAUUCAUCUUGCCCAGUGCAGCAUCUCCCGUGCUCACAAAGGCCCUCUGUUUUCCCUUCCCUUUUGUUUACUGCUUGGAUACAUGGCUUGUUUGUUUUUCUAUGCAGCAGUUGUCCCUUUGUGUGUCUGAGCAAGACUAGGCACACAGUGAGCUUUACUGUUGUGUGGAUGCUUGUCACUUGCUCUAUACACCUCUUGCAGAAGAAAGCGCUGCCCUCUCCCACUGCUGUCUCCCUUCCCUCCAGGGCUCAUGAGUCCAACUGCUCCCUGCAGAUAUUUGCAAAACUUCCUAUACCCUGUUCCCCACAUAUACAACUACCUUUUACCCACAUCUUCAUCCCAGCAUUAAUUCCCCAACAGCACAGCUCCUUCCUCAGCUUCCUCAGGCCCGUGUUGCCUUCCCUUGCAUGCCAGUGCCUAUGGCACCACAUUCCCAAUCCAGAACAGUCCUUUUUAUUUUGCCUUUCCUUCCCAAGCCAUUUGUACUAACUCAGGCUUUGCUGAUUUCUGUAGUUAAAAAUAAAUAAAUAAAUAAAUAAGCUAAGCUAACCCUCUCUUCUGGGGAGUAUUGGGUUCAAGUUUCUCCAAUUUAAUACACAAAUAUUAUAUGCUGGGAAAUUUGCUUUGGAUGAUGACACGAUCAUCCAAAUGAGGGAUGCCAGAGCCUGGGCUCUGCGAGCUCAUUUUCCAUCUCUUCUGCCCUUCAGGUAAGAGUGCUCAGCCUUCUUAGUUUCUCUUCCCAUAUCACUCAUACAACCUCUCUUCUUCACAUAUCAGCAGCUCAUCUUGAAAGGGUUAUCAUUUACUUUUUGAAGACAAGACUCUAAAUGGAUAAUGUCCAGCUUUGAUAGUGCUCUCAGUCCUUGAAUGCACUAUAAAACAGUCAGCAGACUAAAUACUAAUUAGUCAGCAGACUAAUAACUGAGCCUUUCUGCUCAGUUGCAUCAUGGCCUGUGGCCUUCCCUCAGCUCAGGUGUUCUCUGCUUUAAUCCAUCCCUCCCAGUACUCCAGGGGCCUGAAUGGUUCUGCAGAGACAACAUCAACCCGGAGCAUAGAGCUUUCUGGAGGAACAACUGGGACUGGGAUGGUCAGUGUAACCUCAUCACCUUUGUCUGAAGACCAGGGGCUGAGAGAUAUCAGUAAAGCCCUUCCCCUGCUGCUUCAGUUGCUUCUGCCUGAGAGACCACUUGGCCAUCCCAACGUUUCCAUCUUACAACACAGGAGUGAAGGGAUUUUGUGUCCAGCUUCUUGAUCUUGAACAGUACCAUAACUCCUAGGCCCCACCCUCUGCACAAGACACUGGGGGCUAUGGACCUCACAUUCACAGACUGCUCUGUCAAUCUAGCUCCUGCUCCUGUCCCGCUCCUGUUCCAAUGCCUCCAUCCACUGAACUGACUGCAAGCUGCAGAGAGCAGAAAGAGGAGAAGGCCUGACCAGGAGAAAAAUCCAGCUGUCAGAGGAAGUGUCAUCUGGAAACAAUGGGAUCAGAAGGCAGAGAGUUAGGAGACAGUGGGAGGAUUCGGAAGUUUUCCUGGAGUUCUGCUAAUUGGCUGAGCAUCCUCAGAUACUCAUCAGCUAGCCUAUAAAAUCUAAAGAGGUGUGAAGCUGUCUCCUGGUUAGAGAUGUCCAGGCUCACAGAACAGUUAAGUGAGCCAGCCAGCACCCAAACUUCAGAAAGAAACCUAGGCCUGAGAAAAGAGGAAGUACAGGUAAUGCCUCACCUGCUCAGUUUCCAGACACCCUGUGCUUCAUAGUCCAGCUAAGGCACAAACCUGCACAGAACCCACCAGGCUAACAUUCUUCCAACACGGAAGUGUCAGCAGCCUGCUAGCAACCUGCCUGCAGAUUGGCAGUGUUUGAGCCAUGGCAACAGGGGUCCCAGCCAAGAUGAGGGUGCUGGCCUGUGCUAGCGUAGAGUUUAUUUUCUUCCCAGUGGCUGGUAUGGGGCUAUGUUUUGGAUUUGUGCUGAACACUGGGCUGAUAACACAGAGAUGUUUUUGUUAUUGUUGAGCAAGGCCUGCAUAGACCUGAGGCCUUUUCUGCUCUCUGUACUGCCAUGGCUGACAAGGAAUUUGGAGACAAAUACAAGGCACCUGUGAUGCGGCCCUGCUCUCCUGGGGAUGACUGAACACCUGCCUACCCAUGGGAAGUGGUGGAUAAAUUUCUUGUAUGGCUUUGCCUGUGUGUUUGUCUUUUGGUUUCCCUAUUAAACUCUCUUUAUCUCAA